rnacentral:rRNA from 2 species
UACAGAGGGUGCAAGCGUUAAUCGGAAUUACUGGGCGUAAAGCGCGCGUAGGCGGUUGUGUAAGUUGGAUGUGAAAUCCCCGGGCUUAACCUGGGCACUGCAUUCAAAACUGCACGGCUAGAGUAUGGGAGAGGAAGGUAGAAUUCCAGGUGUAGCGGUGAAAUGCGUAGAGAUCUGGAGGAAUACCGAUGGCGAAGGCAGCCUUCUGGCCUAAUACUGACGCUGAGGUGCGAAAGCAUGGGGAGCAAACAGG